CAGCCAGACUCCUACGGGAGGCAGCAGUGGGGAAUAUUGCACAAUGGGGGAAACCCUGAUGCAGCGACGCCGCGUGAGCGAAGAAGUAUUUCGGUAUGUAAAGCUCUAUCAGCAGGGAAGAAAUUGACGGUACCUGAGUAAGAAGCUCCGGCUAAAUACGUGCCAGCAGCCGCGGUAAUACGUAUGGAGCAAGCGUUAUCCGGAUUUACUGGGUGUAAAGGGAGCGUAGACGGAAAGGCAAGUCAGAAGUGAAAACCCAAGGCUCAACCAUGGGACUGCUUUUGAAACUGUCAAACUAGAGUACGGGAGAGGUAAGAGGAAUUCCUAGUGUAGCGGUGAAAUGCGUAGAUAUUAGGAGGAACACCGGUGGCGAAGGCGGCCUGCUGGACUGCGACUGACGUUGAGGCCCGAAAGCGUGGGGAGCAAACAGGAUUAGAUACCCCCGUAC
rnacentral:rRNA from 1 species